rnacentral:lncRNA from 1 species
AAGAUUGUCACCCAGCAGAGGAGUGACUGGCAGUACUCAGUCUUCAACUAUCAAUGAAUUCUUGGACUCUUCUGCCAAAAAUUAUUCAGGAGGCACUUUGGACAAACUUACUGCACAACUGAGCGCUGUGGAAGAAGCUUCUCUCCAAAGACGUCAUGCUGCAGCACGUCAGGCUCUGUCAGGAAAGGCUCCUAGUGCGUAUGUCCAGCUGUUUCAAAGGGACCUUGGAAUCACUCCUGCACCAGGCAGCUCCCAGCAACAAUUACUGGAGCCAACAACACGUAGUUCUCUGGUCUCAGAUGGAAAGAUUGUCACCCAAGCCCACAGCUUCCCCCUGAUUAACACAGAAAGCAGCUGCAGAGGAUUUGGUCCUGCUAGCAGACUAUUUCUAAACUCAACUGGUGCACCUGCUGCUGAAGCUUUGCCCGUUCGGAGCCCUCUUCCCCCUGCUCAUCUUCCUGAAGCUUUCGAAGCUCAGCAUCAAGGUCCAAGGGGAGCUGAAAAUGGAGUGGACAGAUUGAAAGAGACUGAACUUCAUAGUGACAAUCUUCAGAGAAAAUACAGCAAAGCCAAGAUCGGUUCUUCCCAUGUGCCUCAGCUCACCAACUCCAAACCUGUUCUGCCUCCAAUCCCACCUGGGCGAAAGGGCACCAACCCUUGAUGGCCACUGCUACAAUCACACUGAAGCUUUCUGUCUAACAGCAGUACUGAAUUUGAUAGAAUUUCUCUUUGACAAAGCAAAGUCCAUCAAAGAUUAUUUCUAAAUCCAUUUCUGAUUAACUCUCCGAAAAAGUUAUUUAUUUAUAACUUUAUUAAAAAGUAAUUUCUGUGUUUCCCAACACUAGAAAUGAUUUCCCCAGGCAUUCUCAGCUGGGAAAUGUUGUAGAAUUUUUCCUCACCGCCACAUGUCCAUAUCUUCUGUUAAUUUAUUUAUUU